GUAAGGACAGUGUAGCUAACAGACCCAGUACACACUGUAAUGAUAUGCUGUUCGUAAGGACAGUGUAGCUAACAGACCCGGUACACACUGUAAUGAUAUGCUGUUCGUAAGGACAGUGUAGCUAACAGACCCAGUACACACUGUAAUGAUAUGCUGUUCGUAAGGACAGUGUAGCUAACAAAUUGUCAACCAACAUAACGUGUAACAUAUUUGAAAAGUCAUGACUUUAUUACAUUGCUCAACAUUUGUUAACAUUUGUCAUAAUUAGUUAAAGCGACGCAUUUGUAUCUGCUCUCGUCGGACUUCAGCUGCAUAUUUUCCACAAUUUUAUUCAAAUCUGAAAACUUUGAAGCCACGCCCCUUUUCGGAAGAAUUGCAUUAUGGGCCCUGAAAGCACGGAAAUAGUGUCCACUGCAUGCAUACUUCGUAUUUUGGCAAAUGUAGUACGACAUCCGGGAACUUUAAGCAUCAGGGAAAAUAUUCCAUUCCAAUACUAACUAUAUCCAUACUAUGACUAAUAAGCACACUACAUACUCAAUUUAUGUCACAAAUAGUACGGUUAGUGCGGUCAGUGUGAGUAUUCGAACACCAGCUAGAGACUGUGAGAUCUGGUAGGUUUCGGCAGCCAAGAUAACAAGCAACACCAGGCACAAGAGCCGCGUGCUCAGAUCAGGCACCACAUUACUCGCCAAUCAAUCGAGAACUGAGCCCCGAGUGACCGCUAUAACCGUUUUAUAACGGGCCUGUCGCCCCCAUAUGACUGCGGCCUGUCUGUGUUACGAGAGAAGUGUUGUUGAAAUGCCUUUAUGCAACUCAGGAGUCAGAAGUACAGAUGGUUUCGCAGAGAUCAAUGUAUGCUCCGAUCUGGGGUCCUAUUGUAGCGGAGAGCAGUCACGAGAAGGAGUAUUUGGGUUUUGCCACCCUCCCCAACCAGGUCCACAGGAAGUCAGUGAAGAAGGGGUUUGACUUUACCCUCAUGAUGUUAGUUGAGGAGGAUGCAGGAGAUGCUUCAGAAGAUGCAACAUGAGCAGGUCCUGUGAGCGCUGAUCCUUUACCUUUCACCCCAGAGCUUCUACCUCGCUCCUCUCACCUAAUGAUGUGUGGGAGGAGUAUCACAGGGUCAAUCACAUGCUGGCCAAUCACACACUGCCACCUGACCACUGCCUCUAAAUCGUAAACAUUCAUUGGAGUUCUAUACAGUACAGUUCUGUUUGAACUUUCUGUAAUUGUUACUCCCUCUUCUGAAUAUGUUCAUGUCUCCGAUCACUAACAGAGAAACUGGACACGUGGUAAAACCAACACUAAACACUCUCCAAACCGUGGACAUUAUAGGUCGGCCACACCCUACAUUGGAGUUUGACUUUUAAACAGGGUCAAGCAUUUUGUCAAUGUUUUGUUGGUGUUGUGAAAAACCAAGAAACGGCGUUCUGUUGGAUACCGUUAGAAGCCAAGACUGGAGCCAAGCUUUGUAGCGCUGUAGUGGAUUUGCACCUUAGAUUGCAGUUGAUGUCCGAGCCACUUUUUGUGUAUUCAAGGGAAGUUAUUUAGUACUUAAUAAGGCUGUUUAUGAUUAUGGUUGAAUAUGUAUUUUGCAUUCUACCUGAUCACACAGAAUGUUGGCCAGAUGAAUUUAUUCUGUUUCUAACAUUGUGUUCCAUGUUAUUCAUUUUAAUCGAUGGCAUCUUUGCAUGAGUAAAAGUGAGCAUGUGAAAUUGUGAGUGUAAGUGUGUGUGUGUUUAUAGUUGUGUGUGUGGGAGAAAUAGAGAGAUUUUGUCUCUGUCAGAAACAUAGACCACAGUGCCAUUUCCUGUCCGACAGAAGUUAUGAAACGAACCAAAGUUUUAAGCGAGACUAAAUAUGCAAUUUCCUUUUAGUCCAUUGACAGACUGAGGCUUUCUAAAGCACCACUUCUGUCUAUGAGGGCUCUCUUACGGAACCGGGGCAAAGUGUUACAGCACAAUCAAUACUCUGACAGUCUACUUUAGAUUUACAUUAGAUGAAGAAUCAUUAGAUCAAACUCAAAUGAAAAACUAUAUAGGACCAGAACCCAUCCACUUGACAAGAUUGCAUUACACCCUUUAAGUGUGUGUGUGUGUGUGUGUGUGUGUGUGUGUGCCUGUGUGUCAGUGGUGGUGAGGUUUAGCCUGUAUGUUGGUCCAUCCCAUUGUUGUACGCUACAUAGAUGAGUAGAUAUGUCAGCAUGAUCAAGGUUGUGUCCACACAGACACAGUGAUGUCUCACACUGGUGCUCGUCACAAAAUAAAAGCCCACCGCUGUACCUUUGAUGCUCACUAAUAUUACUGUGUGUUAUUGGGUGUGUGGCUUAGCAUCGGACAGUGUUUUACCCCUGAUACAUGGCUGUGCCGUGUGAAACCUCAACAAAUAGUCUCAUCGUAGGUUACUGUACACUGUGAAAAUGCAGUCCAGUCUGUUUUGUUCAGUGCUGGUUAAUCUACUACGUCAUCAUAACACAUCGUUUGGGACCUGCCAUCUAUUCGUACGCAGUCCCUCUGGAUGAACUUGCUCAUAGACACUCAUCUAAGGUCAGCUUUAUGUUUCCCCCCUCUAAUGGGGUUAGGAUUUGGUGAAGGUAAACUGACUCUAGAUCUGUGCCUAAGGACAACUGCUUUGCCUGUCUGUGAGGAUGAGACGAGGCCUGUCGUCCCCUAUCACAGGUAAAAACGUGAUUCACGUAUGGUUGAUUAUGAGCCAAAACAGUAGGGAGAAAGGCAACCUGUCUAGUUAUUCUAGGGUUGGUAUUCAGGGAGAAAAUGUCCUUGUUCACUCUUCUGUUAUAGGUCCUGUGUAUGGAAUCUAUUUUUCCCACUGUUCUUUCAGGCUAACGCAGACCAAGACACUGGGACCUACACAGAUUUACUGAAACCAAAUCUUUUGGAUUUUUAUAACAAAACUCUGAGAAAAAUGGAGGAAAAGUCUGAAUCCAACUAUGAAAGAGGUGAGUCCCUCAGUUACUUUCUCAUUUAGCAUACAUGUACAACCGAUUUAGUACACCAGUACAGCACCCUUACCCAUUGAGAUGUAUAUACAAUAAGUUCUGCAAUACAUACAUUUUGUAUAAGUCCUGUUGCUACUGUAAGGUUCUGUAUUUAUUUUCUUAGUCAACCUUGUGUUCUGUUUCGUUGUGUUCUUGAACGUAGCCCUGCCUUUCAUUUUUGUUAAUUGAUUUCACCUGUGU